UAGUUAUUGAGGGGAGACAAUAACAUCUGCUUUGAAUGCCCAUUUGCAAUGCUGGAGUUGUCUUUCUUUUAAUCCUUCUAUGCACUAUCAGUUAAAAAAAAAUCAGAUUUCUUAAAAAGUGUUUAAUAUCAAUAUUAAACAAGGACUUACAAAUUUUUCAGUCUGGUUUUCAAGUACAUCUGAGACCUGGUCAGUCUGAGUAAAAAGCUACUGUCCUUCAUUAAAGUUCAUUUAUAAAUAUAUUCCAAUGUAUUGAGUGUUUUUUCCAUCCAUUUAAAAAAAAAAAAUUAAAAACAAAACUUCCAACUAUAGUCAUAAAUAUGGAACAAACAUCAAAAGCAAAACAACAAAUAUACUAGUCUCAAUUCUUAAUUAUUGCAGUUCCUCACUGUGUGGUAUCUUGAGAAACACCCAGGCAGACACAUGUGUUUUCCACAUUCCAAACAUCCAAACUAGGUCUGUCAGAUAAGAACAUCUGGACUAUUUUGGUUUCUCAUGUUAUAGAGAUGGAACUUAGAUUUCUUUUCAAAGGAGGCUGGCAUGUGACAAUGAGCAAGUAGGUUUUCAACUGGCUUGAGAGAUGCUCUGAUCCUCUACACAUUUCGGACAUAUAACAAUUUACCAACCCCUUGGCUACAGAAAUGGAAAAGUCCAGGUUUGUACAUAAAUAAGGC
rnacentral:lncRNA from 1 species